rnacentral:rRNA from 1 species
GGGGGCCCGCAAGCGGUGGAGCAUGUGGUUCAAUUCGACGCAACGCGAAGAACCUUACCUGGGCUCGAAGCGCAGUGGACUGGGGUAGAAAUAUCCCUUCCCCUUAAAAGGCUGCUGCGGAGGUGCUGCAUGGCUGUCGUCAGCUCGUGUCGUGAGAUGUUGGGUUAAGUCCCGCAACGAGCGCAACCCUUAUCCCUAGUUGCCAUCGGGUCAAGCCGGGCACUCUAGUGAAACUGCCUCGGAUAACGAGGAGGAAGGUGGGGAUGACGUCAAGUCCUCAUGGCCUUUAUGUCCAGGGCUACACACGUGCUACAAUGGUCGGUACAAACCGUCGCAAACCCGCGAGGGGGAGCUAAUCGGAAAAAGCCGGCCUCAGUUCGGAUUGGAGUCUGCAACUCGACUCCAUGAAGCUGGAAUCGCUAGUAAUCGCGGAUCAGAACGCCGCGGUGAAUACGUUCCCGGGCCUUGUACACACC